rnacentral:ncRNA from 2 species
GGGCCGGGGGGCGACUGGCGCUGAACGUGGGCACACCACGGGGAAGCCCCCGACACGGACUUCUGAUCGCGCGCCUGGGUCGAUCCC